AGCAGCCGCGGUAAUUCCAGCUCCAAUAGCGUAUAUUAAAGUUGUUGCAGUUAAAAAGCUCGUAGUUGAAUUUCAGGCCUGGCUGGACGGUCCGCCCUUCGGGUGAGUACUGUCUGUGGUCGGGUCCUACCUUCUGGCGAAGCGUCAUGGCCUUAACCGGCCGUGGCGGGGAACCAGGACUUUUACUGUGAAAAAAUUAGAGUGUUCAAAGCAGGCAAUCGCUUGGAUACAUUAGCAUGGAAUAAUGGAAUAGGACAAUGGUUCUAUUUUGUUGGUUUCUAGGACCGUUGUAAUGAUUAAUAGGGAUAGUUGGGGGCAUUAGUAUUCAAUUGUCAGAGGUGAAAUUCUUGGAUUUAUUGAAGACUAACUACUGCGAAAAGCAUUUGCCAAGGAUGUUUUCAUUAAUCUAAGAACGAUAGUUAGGGAUCGAAGACGAUCAGAUACCGUCGUAGUCUUAACCAUAAACUAUAGCCGACUAGGGAUCGGAUGAUGUUAAUUUUUANGUACUUCAUUCGGCNCC
rnacentral:rRNA from 1 species